rnacentral:rRNA from 1 species
UACAGAGGUCUCAAGCGUUGUUCGGAUUCAUUGGGCGUAAAGGGUGCGUAGGUGGCGGGGCAAGUCAGGUGUGAAAUCUCGGGGCUCAACCCCGAAACUGCACUUGAUACUGCCUUGCUGGAGUACUGGAGAGGAGAUUGGAAUUUACGGUGUAGCAGUGAAAUGCGUAGAUAUCGUAAGGAAGACCAGUGGCGAAGGCGAAUCUCUGGACAGUUACUGACGCUGAGGCACGAAGGCCAGGGGAGCAAACGGG